CCUACGGGAGGCAGCAGUGGGGGAUAUUGCACAAUGGGGGAAACCCUGAUGCAGCGACGCCGCGUGGGCGAAGAAGUAUUUCGGUAUGUAAAGCCCUAUCAGCAGGGAAGAAGAAAUGACGGUACCUGAGUAAGAAGCACCGGCUAAAUACGUGCCAGCAGCCGCGGUAAUACGUAUGGUGCAAGCGUUAUCCGGAUUUACUGGGUGUAAAGGGAGCGCAGGCGGCACGGCAAGCCUGAUGUGAAAGCCCGGGGCCCAACCGCGGGACUGCAUUGGGAACUACCGGGCUGGAGUGCAGGAGAGGUAGGCGGAAUGCCUAGUGUAGCGGUGAAAUGCGUAGAUAGUAGGAGGAACACCAGUGGCGAAGGCGGCCUACUGGACGGUGACUGACGCUGAGGCUCGAAAGCGUGGGGAGCAAACAGGAUUAGAUACCCUUGUAGUC
rnacentral:rRNA from 1 species